GGUUAAGUGACUUCCAAGGGUCACACAGCUAGUAAUUUCUGAGGCUGGACUUGAACUCUGAUUUAAAAAAAAUUUUUCCAAUAGUAUUUUAUUCUUCCAAAUAUAUGCCAAGGUAAUUGGCAACAUUCAUUUUUAUAAGACUUUCUGUUCCAAACUUUUCUCCCUCCCUCCCUUGCCUCUCCCCCUCACCAAGACACCAGGUAAUCUGAUACAGAUUAAAUAUAUGCAAUUCUUUUAAACAUUUCUAUAUUUGUCACGUUGUGCAAGAAAAAUCAGACCAAAAGGGAAAAAAACCCAUGAGAAAGAAAACCAAAUCAAAAAAAUGAAAAUACCAUGCUUUGAUCUAUAUUCAGUUUACAUAGUUCUCUUUCUGGUUGUGGAUGGCAUUUUCCAUCCCAAAGCUAUUGGAACUGCCUUGAAUCAUUGCUAAGAAGAGCCAAGUACAGUUGAUCAUCACAUAAUCUUGUUGUUACUAUGUACAAUGUUGUUCAGGUUCUACUCAUUUCACUCAGCAUCAAUUCAUACAAGUCUUUCCAGGUUUUUCUGAAACCAGGCAGCUCAUCAUUUUUAAAAAUUUUUUUGAAGUUUUAUUUUUUUUAAUAAUACUCAUGUUUAGUUAAUUUUAAAAAUGACUUUUGACCAGAUAUGUUUUGUCACAGCAAAAAUAAUUCUUAUUUUUAGCAAUAGGAGCUACCAAAGCUUUUUUUUUUUUUUUAAUUCUAUUUAUUGGAUUAAAUAAGAAAAAAGAAAGGCAGAAAAGGAAAAAGAAAGAAACAAAACGACAUUGCCAUGUACCCAGCAGAACAUCAGGGAAGAGUCAAAAUUUAUAAAAAUAAACUACCAUUUCAAGAAAGUAUAUAUAAUGGUACAAGAAAUUAUAUUCAUGAGUGUCUAUCUUUUCUUUAUUCCCUUGUAGGUUGAUAUUUUGUUCUCUACUGGGCAUUUUUUUACUUUAUUCUUUUUUCCCCCCUUUCAUCCUCCCCAUCUCCCCCAAGCAGGUUAUAGUUUAACACAGAUAUAUUUACAGAUAGAUAGAUAGGUAUAGAGAUAUACAUAUCUACAUGAAUACACACAUAUGUAUAUAUACACACACACACAUACAUCCACACCUACCCACAGAUCCCCCCACAUAUACAUUUAUCUAUAUACAUACCUACAUAGAACUAUAUGCAUACAUAUCUACAUAUACUCAGAAAUAUACAUAAAAUCAUGCAGUUUACCCAUAUGUAAACAUGUAUCUAAACAUAUGUAAAACCGGAUUAGUGUGGCUGACAUAAUGUAGAUUUUUCUCUUGAUUGAAUCUUUAAGUUUGACAUUGUCUAAGAUCAAUGAUUACUAGCUGUACUUUGUUUUCUAAUAAAUUCCAC
rnacentral:lncRNA from 1 species